rnacentral:rRNA from 1 species
AACAGGAUUAGAUACCCUGGUAGUCCACGCCGUAAACGAUGUCGACUUGGAGGUUGUGCCCUUGAGGCGUGGCUUCCGGAGCUAACGCGUUAAGUCGGCCGCCUGGGGAGUACGGCCGCAAGGUUAAAACUCAAAUGAAUUGACGGGGGCCCGCACAAGCGGUGGAGCAUGUGGUUUAAUUCGAUGCAACGCGAAGAACCUUACCUACUCUUGACAUCCAGAGAACUUAGCAGAGAUGCUUUGGUGCCUUCGGGAACUCUGAGACAGGUGCUGCAUGGCUGUCGUCAGCUCGUGUUGUGAAAUGUUGGGUUAAGUCCCGCAACGAGCGCAACCCUUAUCCUUUGUUGCCAGCGGUUAGGCCGGGAACUCAAAGGAGACUGCCAGUGAUAAACUGGAGGAAGGUGGGGAUGACGUCAAGUCAUCAUGGCCCUUACGAGUAGGGCUACACACGUGCUACAAUGGCGCAUACAAAGAGAAGCGACCUCGCGAGAGCAAGCGGACCUCAUAAAGUGCGUCGCAGUCCGGAUUGGAGUCUGCAACUCGACUCCAUGAAGUCGGAAUCGCUAGUAAUCGUGGAUCAGAAUGCCACGGUGAAUACGUUCCCGGGCCUUGUACACACCGCCCGUCACACCAUGGGAGUGGGUUGCAAAAGAAGUAGGUAGCUUAACCUUCGGGAGGGCGCUUACCACUUUGUGAUUCAUGACUGGGGUGAAGUCGUAACAAGGUAACC